rnacentral:rRNA from 1 species
UCGGAUUNAAGGCUGCAAUUCGCCUUCAUGAAGCCGGAAUUGCUAGUAAUGGCAGGUCAGCAUACUGCCGUGAAUACGUUCCCGGGCCCUUGUACACACUGCCCGUCACACCAUGAGAGUUGGGGAUACCCGAAGCCUGUGAGCUAACUUAUAGAGGCAGCAGUCGAAGGUAGAAUCAAUGAUUGGGGUGAAGUCGUAACAAGGUAUC